AGAAUCAACGCUGGCGGCGUGCCUAACACAUGCAAGUCGCACGAGAAAGGGUAGCAAUACCUGAGUAAAGUGGCGCACGGGUGAGUAACACGUGACUAAUCUACCCUCGAGUGGGGAAUAACUGAGAGAAAUCUUAGCUAAUACCGCAUAACACUUACGAGUCAAAGCAGCAAUGCGCUUGGGGAGGAGGUCGCGGCCGAUUAGCUAGUUGGCGGGGUAAUGGCCCACCAGGGCGAUGAUCGGUA
rnacentral:rRNA from 1 species